rnacentral:rRNA from 1 species
AUUGAACGCUGGCGGCAGGCCUAACACAUGCAAGUCGAGCGGAUGAAGGGAGCUUGCUCCUGGAUUCAGCGGCGGACGGGUGAGUAAUGCCUAGGAAUCUGCCUGGUAGUGGGGGAUAACGUCCGGAAACGGGCGCUAAUACCGCAUACGUCCUGAAGGAGAAAGUGGGGGAUCUUCGGACCUCACGCUAUCAGAUGAGCCUAGGUCGGAUUAGCUAGUUGGUGGGGUAAAGGCCUACCAAGGCGACGAUCCGUAACUGGUCUGAGAGGAUGAUCAGUCACACUGGAACUGAGACACGGUCCAGACUCCUACGGGAGGCAGCAGUGGGGAAUAUUGGACAAUGGGUGAAAGCCUGAUCCAGCCAUGCCGCGUGUGUGAAGAAGGUCUUCGGAUUGUAAAGCACUUUAAGUUGGGAGGAAGGGCAGUAAGUUAAUACCUUGCUGUUUUGACGUUACCAACAGAAUAAGCACCGGCUAACUUCGUG